UCUUCCGCAAUGGACGAAAGUCUGACGGAGCAACGCCGCGUGAGUGAUGAAGGUUUUCGGAUCGUAAAACUCUGUUGUUAGGGAAGAACAAGUACCGUUCGAAUAGGGCGGCACCUUGACGGUACCUAACCAGACAGCCAUGGCUAACUACGUGCCAGCAGCCGCGGGAAUACGUAGGUGGCAAGCGUUGUCCGGAAUUAUUGGACGUAAAGCGCGCGCAGGCGGUUUCUUAAGUCUGAUGUGAAAGCCCCCGGCUCAACCGGGGAGGGUCAUUGGAAACUGGGGAACUUGAGUGCAGAAGAGGAGAGUGGAAUUCCACGUGUAGCGGUGAAAUGCGUAGAUAUUGGAAGGAACACCAGUGGCGAAGGCGACUCUCUGGUCUGUAACUGACGCUGAGGCGCGAAAGCGUGGGGAGCGAACAG
rnacentral:rRNA from 1 species